GAGCACAUCUGUGUCAGUUUGCAGCACAGUUCUCUUCAGCCGCUGAUGACUAGGACAGAAGGAUUCACUUUGGAUCUUUAUUUCUUCAAGACUUUUUCUUGAUGUAUAUUCAGUGUGAUUACAUGAACAUUUCUCUUCUUCUCACAGGUACAGCAGUUAUUUUAAUUAUUGCCUGCUUUACUGAGCCGCUUUAUUUUCAUACAGGCAACUUGAUUAUUUGUCAUUUUAUCAGAAAUGUUUUAAUAGCUGACACCUGUAAAUUAAUGAAAGUUUGUAAUAGUAUUAUAUAAUGUAAUGAUCAUCUGUCUUUAUAUUCCUUGUUUUAUUGUUCAAAUUAAACAUUUGGUAGAAACAUGAAAAAACAGAACCUUGUGAAUCUUGUCAGAUGGAGCUGCAGUGAAAUAACAGAUAAACACCAGUCAAGAUACAAACGGUUCAUAUUAAAGAGAUUCUUCUAAUCGCACUGAUGUUUGAUGUUGUUGUGAUAUGAUCUGAAAUUGCUGUACCUUGACUUGGAUGACUUUACACUGAUACAAAUGAAGUGUAGAAAGGAGAAAACUGUUGGAGCGUCAGAAACCACAGACGAGCAAAAACCAGCAGAACAGAGAGAAUAAUGGACACAAACUGCUGGAGAGAAAAGCAGACAGAGACUUGUUAGAUGAACAGUAUGGAGAAAACAAAUCCAUUGUAUCCUCAUUCAUGUCUCCACUUCCUAGUUGGAUUACCGUCUUCCGUGUUCGUGUGCUGGAUUGUGUUCGUGUUGUCGUCUUCGUGUCAGUGUUCCGGUCUGUUCCUGGUUUCAUCCAUUGACCGUCUUCACCUUCACCAUCGACUUCACCAUCCAGCUCUUCUCACGCCACCGUAGACCUUCGUUUCCAUUGCCUACAUUCUGGACUCUGAUAUCAAUAAACUUCUUCUGAUUGCCUGCAAUUGCUUCCUCCUCUUUUACAAGCCGUCACAGUAGGAUCUGACCAUCAUGGAAGCAGCAGGCGAUCGCUCCCCAUCUCAUCUGGAGGAGUUUCUGCAGAGAGCCGUUGGUCGUAUGGAUCGUCAAGACAAGGCGAUAGAUGAGAUGGGUCGAGCUUUCCAAGCAAUGGUGACGAAGGUGUCCGAGCUCGCUCUCCAGGCUCAACGACAACAACAACCGCCACCCGCUGCGCCUCCCACGCCACCCACACCGCCGAUCGUCUCCGGAGGGAUUUCCCAGUCCGAACCACGCCUCCCCAUCCCUGAGAAAUAUGCGGGUGAGCCAAAGUUUUGUCGAUCAUUUCUGUCUCAUUGUUCUCUGCACUUCGCCCUGCAGCCCCGCACGUUUAACACCGAGGAAAUGAAGGUGGCAUUCGUCUUGUCACUACUGACGGGGAGGGCUGCCCUCUGGGGGACGGCGGUGUGGGAGAACCAAGAC
ensembl:lncRNA